GAAAUGCCCGACACCAAAGGUAAACAAUAUGGCGGGCGAAAUUUCUUGAAGGACGUCCCGGACGAUUUUUCGCAAUCUUUUCUGAAUUAUAAGCCGACUUUACGUCAAAAGCAAAGGGCUGUAGCGUUUGUAAAAGAUGCAUACAUUAAAUCUGUGAAAAUGUUUAGAGGAGAAAAUGAAAACAGCAUUCAAAUUACCGCUAAAAUAUUCAGAAGUCAGAGAAAGAGCGAGUAUCCCCAUCGAGUUAAUCUCGACGUUAAUAUCACCGGGAAGAGUUUCAACGAUGCACAUUGCAGUUGCAAAGCUGGUUAAUGCAUGCAGUUGGCAUCAGCAUUCAACGGAUAUCUGCAUAAAGUAUUUCAAACACGAAGAUGAGGGUGUCUGGACAAUUUGCGCAUAUCUUAGCUUUAAUCAAUGCACUGGAGCAGUGGAAGAUCUCUGGGUACAAAGAUAUACCAGCAGAACCUUCAUCAACCAGUUUGCCACAGCAGUGGGACAAACCUCGUGGGGAGAAAAUAAAAGCUGAACCAGUGUCUAAAAUGAUAAUUUCACGUCCAACAAAUCUUAACAGAAAAAGGAAGCCUGUUAUCGCAUCGUACAUUGAUACAAGGAAGACGGACAUCAAUAUAGAUGAUAUUGAAAAAUUGAAGUUUUAAAGCAAAGCCCCAUAUCAUAUCUGGUUACUUCAACAGCAAACUGUACAGUAGAUACACCACUUGGAGUACAGUUCAUUGGUUCAGCUCUUAGUUACCAUGCACCACUGAUUCAGCCAAUCGCAAAUCCCCGAGCUGCAUGGAGUUGUGGAGAUACAGAAUUUCCAAAGGCCCUAGCCCCUUAUGAUCUCCAGAGUGUGGAGCAACUAGCACAUGAGUGGAGCAAUCUUAAUAUAACUCAAAGUGAUGCCAAUGAGUUAGAAAGGUCAACUCGCUGACCCGAGAUGGUACACAGAGCGAAGUAAGAGAAUUACUGCUUCCAACUUUGAACUCAUAAUGAGAAGGAAAAAGGACAUUAAUGAAACUUUCAUGAAAAAUACCUUUCAAAAAAAAGAGUUUUCAUCCUCGUCUACAUCCUAUGGGAAAGCUAAUGAAAUUGUUGCAAAGCAAAUGUACAUCAGAAAUAUAGGAAAUCAUCUUCAUGAAGUUGGUUUGAUAGUCAACCCUGAUUUGCCUUUUCUCGGUGCAACACCUGAUGGCAUAAUGUGUGAAAAAUCAACAACGGCUAUAAUUGAAAUCAAAUGUCUAUAUUCUGUCAGAGACAUGUCCAUUUGUGAAGCCUGCGAAACAAGAAAUGUUUUUUUCCUCCAAAAAAAUGGUGAUUUGUUUUCUUUAAAACACAGUCAUGCACACUGGUAUCAAAUCAAGGGUCAACUUCUUGUAUCUGGGGCCCCUUUUUGCGAUUUUAUUACAUACACCAAGCAAGACUUCUAUGUGGAACGAAUUUAUCCCCACAGGCCCACUAUUGAUGCCUUGGUCAGAAAAUUGUCCGAGUUCUAUGUACAUCACUUUAAUCCAUUUGUGCAAAAUAAUGAUGCUAACUGAGUUACUGAAUUUGUUGCAAUUUUGUACAAAACUGAAUCAGUAUGUAUGGAUGCAAAUAAAAUAACUUUAUUCUU
rnacentral:misc_RNA from 1 species